AGUAAAAUGUCCGAUAAUAGGUGAUAAAUUGUAAAUUUAUUUAUAAGAAUUUUUCUUUUUUACUA
rnacentral:tRNA from 1 species